rnacentral:rRNA from 1 species
UACGGAGGGGGCAAGCGUUAUCCGGAUUCACUGGGCUUAAAGGGUGCGUAGGUGGGCAAGUAAGUCAGUGGUGAAAUCUCCGGGCUUAACCCGGAAACUGCCAUUGAUACUAUUUGUCUUGAAUACUGUGGAGGUCAGCGGAAUAUGUCAUGUAGCGGUGAAAUGCUUAGAUAUGACAUAGAACACCAAUUGCGAAGGCAGCUGGCUACACAAAUAUUGACACUGAGGCACGAAAGCGUGGGGAUCAAACAGG